AGCGACUGUGCAGGUUACCGCGGCUGCUGGCACGGAGUUAGCCGGUGCUUCUUCUGUGAGUGAUGUCCUUCCUGCCGGUUAUUGACCCGCAGGCCUUCUUCCUCACUGAAAGUGCUUUACAACCCGAAGGCCUUCUUCACACACGCGGCAUGGCUGGAUCAGGGUUGCCCCCAUUGUCCAAUAUUCCCCACUGCUGCCUCCCGUAGGAGUCUGGGCCGUGUCUCAGUCCCAGUGUGGCUGAUCAUCCUCUCAGACCAGCUACGGAUCGUCGCCUUGGUGAGCCGUUACCUCACCAACCAGCUAAUCCGACAUAGGCUCAUCCGAUAGCGCGAGGCCCGAAGGUCCCCCGCUUUCCCCCGUAGGGCGUAUGCGGUAUUAGCCUGGGUUUCCCCAGGUUAUCCCCCACUACCGGGCAGAUUCCUAUGCAUUACUCACCCGUCCGCCGCUCGCCACCAGGGAGCAAGCUCCCCGUGCUGCCGCUCGACUUGCAUGUGUUAGGCCUGCCGCCAGCGUUCAAU
rnacentral:rRNA from 1 species